GAGCGUAUAGCUCGGUGGUAGAGUGCAUGCCUAACACACACAAGGUCUUGGGUUCAAUUCCCAGUACCUUUG
rnacentral:tRNA from 1 species